UCGUAACAAGGUUUCCGUAGGUGAACCUGCGGAAGGAUCAUUGUCGAAACCUGCAUUGCAGUACCACUUGCGAACAUGUUCACAAACAUGGGACACGAUCUGUUGUGUGGUACUCCGCUCACCUGAUCGGUGCCCUUAAGGGUGCCCUUGUGGUGCUUAACAAACCCCCGGCGUGAGAAGCGCCAAGGAUUACUCAUAACAAGGGCUCUAUCCGUUCUCUCCCGUUCGCGGGGCCUAGGGAUUGGAGACGGGCUCCAUUGAAACGAAAACGACUCUCGGCAACGGAUAUCUCGGCUCUCGCAUCGAUGAAGAACGUAGCGAAAUGCGAUACUUGGUGUGAAUUGCAGAAUCCCGUGAACCAUCGAGUCUUUGAACGCAAGUUGCGCCUGAAGCCAUUAGGCUAAGGGCACGUCUGCCUGGGCGUCACGCAUCGCAUCACCCCUUCACCAAUUCGAAGAAUGGGGUGGAUUGUGACCUCCUGUAAAUGUUGUGUAGUUGGUCCAAAUUUGAGAUCGGAGCCUAGGAUGUCACGGCAAGUGGUGGUUGGACAACAACUUGCGUCAUGUCGUGUGCCGAACCUCCAUUGAUUGUCAAAAACCCUUAGGCACAUGUGACUCUAAUCUGCUUGGUUGGGAACUUGUGCCACGACCGCGACCCCAGGUCAGGCGGGACUACCCGCUGAAUUUAAGCAUAUCAA
rnacentral:rRNA from 1 species